UUAAACAGCAUCAAAUUUGGAUUUUUUUGUAGUUUAACCCUUGUGUGAUGUUCAUAUUUUUGUUACUUAGCCAGUGUUGGCGGGUCUGGUGGACCCGCUGCAAUUUUGGGGGUUUAAUUCAACACAAUCAAACAAUUUUAUGUUCAAAUGCUUAACAGAUGUUUACUUCAUCCCAAUUACAAGC